CCUACGGGGUGCAGCAGUGAGGAAUAUUGGUCAAUGGACGGAAGUCUGAACCAGCCAUGCCGCGUGCAGGAAGACGGCUCUAUGAGUUGUAAACUGCUUUUGUACAAGGGUAAACCUGAAUACGUGUAUUCAGCUGAAAGUACUGUACGAAUAAGGAUCGGCUAACUCCGUGCCAGCAGCCGCGGUAAUACGGGGGGUGCAAGCGUUGUCCGGAAUCAUUGGGCGUAAAGCGUUCGUAGGCGGUAUGUCAAGUCUGAUGUUAAAGCCCGGGGCUCAACUCCGGUUCGGCAUUGGAUACUGGCAAACUAGAAUGUGGUAGAGGUAAAGGGAAUUCCUGGUUUAGCGGUGAAAUGCGUAGAUAUCAGGAGGAACAUCGGUGGCGAAAGCGCUUUACUGGACCAUUAUUGACGCUGAGGAACGAAAGCCAGGGGAGCAAAUGGGAUUAGAUACCCCAGUAGUC
rnacentral:rRNA from 1 species